rnacentral:tRNA from 1 species
GCCCCUGUACCGGCGGAGGAUUUCUACCCUUCUGGCCGUAACUGGAUCAUGCGCGUUCGAAUCGCGUCAGGGGCUCCA